UAAGUAAAUCAGAUGGUCGCAGGUAUAUUUUUUUAAUAUACGUGAGGAACGUCCGGGCUCUAUAGAGCAAAGGUGCUGGAUAACACCCAGUCGAGGCGACUCGAAGGAAAGUGCAACAGAAAUAGACCACCCAUUUUUUUGGGAACGGAUGGAAAGGCGAGGUAAAAGCUCACCGUUUUUUAGGCGACUAAAAAAGCCAUGUAAACCCCACCUAGAGCAAGACCAAAAUAAGACUUAGGUUGCUCGCUAGUCUUGAGUAGGUCGCUAAAAUUUUUAGGCAACUACUAAUUUAGAUAGAUGACUGUCAAAUACUGAACCCGGCGUAUAGAUUUGGUUAUAAA
rnacentral:RNase_P_RNA from 2 species